rnacentral:misc_RNA from 1 species
AUAAAACGUACUCAGGCUUCUGCUUUCCACCGCUGAACCAGACAACCGUCUAUUACUCCGCCGCCACCGUAUAGCGAUUUCUCAUCUCCUUUGCUAGGCCACUACCAUUCCCAUUGCAGGUUCUCUCUCUGUCUCUCUCUCUCCUGCUUUUGUCUUCGAUUAAAGAUAGCAAGAUUCUGAUGGUCAUCAGUCGCUCUCAACUCUCAAGAGAUCAGAAUAUAAUCAUUUGUUUUCUUUAGCUUCAUUUUGAAGUGCUCCUUCAUUUUGUUCCGGUGGCUGUUGCUGUGGAUUGGGAGCGGAGAGUUUUUUUUUGUGUACUUUUUCCCCUCUUUUUUUAAAUGGAGUACGGUUGCCGGGAAACGACGGCGGGGAAGACCAAAACGGAGACGUUUAAUAGCUGGGCGCAGCAGACGGAAGAGAGUUAUCAGUUGCAGCGGGCGCUAGCUUUGAGAUUGUCUUCUCAAGCAGCUUUAGCUAAUGAUCCAAAUUUCUUGGUUUUCAAAUCCGAUGAUCGUUUUGAUUCUUUCUCUGAUUCCGCUGAAGCUGUUUCUCAUCGUUUUUGGGUAAACGGAUGUCUCACUUACUUUGACAAAAUCCCAGAUGGAUUUUAUCUAAUCCAUGGGGUGGAUCCUUAUGCUUGGACUCUAAGUACAGAUCAACGAGACAUUGGCCUGGUCCCAUCUUUUGAAUCCUUAAAGGCUCUUGAUCCUUGUGCUGAUUUGUCAGUGAAAGUAGUUUUAAUUGACAGAUUCAGGGAUCCUGGUCUGAAAGAGCUACUCAAUAGUGUUAUUAGUCAUUCUAGUAGCUGGUUAACCACAAAAGAUGUGAUUGUUCAGCUUGCCAAUCUUGUCUCUAAGCGCAUGGGGGGGGUAACCUCUAGUGGAGAAGAAAAUCUUGGUUUAUGCUGGAAGGAAUGCACUGAAGUUCUGAUAAAUCGUUUACGAUCUGUUGUGAUUCCAAUUGGAAGCUUACGUGUUGGCCUCUGUGUCCAUCGUGCCUUACUGUUUAAAGUGUUAGCAGACUCAGUUAACUUGCCAUGCAGAAUUGCUAAAGGCUGCAAACAUUGUAGAGCUGAUGUUUCUGCUUCUUGUCUUGUACUGGUUGGUAAUGAGAGGGAAUAUUUGGUUGAUUUGUUUGGGAAGCCAGGAAUGUUAAGCCAGCCUGAUUGCUCACUUAAUUGUACUUCUUCAAUUUUAGUUUCUUCACCUUUAUCUCAUCCGAGUUUUAAACCUAUCCAAACAGCUGAGGAUUUCAGGACAUUUGCCAAACUAUUUUUCUUUGACAGCCAGUCACUUAAUCUUGCAUUUGAUGACACUAUCUCAGGCACGACUACUGAUCAUGAUGAGAAAAGUAGUCAAACACUCAUUAAAGAUAACAAGAACCUUUUACCCAUUUCAAGCAACAACCAUGCAGCUCCACCACCUCUGCUCAAAAGAGUUACUGUGAACAUUACCCAUGGCAAGGAUCGUGGUGUUCUAAACUCAUCCGAUGAAUCAGAUAACCUAGCAAAAGGUCCAAUUCCACUAGGUUCUGUUUUCUCCAAUCCAAAAUCUGAUGCAUCUAAUUAUCAGUUGUUCUUGCAAGCAAACAAGUCAUUUGUGAAUAAAUCAAGUAGUGAACUUCACCUUGAAGAGGAUGAUUUGGACAUUCCAUGGAGUGAACUUGAUUUGAAGGAGAAAAUUGGAGAAGGUUCAUUCGGAACUGUCUAUCGCGCUGAUUGGCGUGGCUCAGAUGUCGCUGUCAAAAUUCUGAUGGAGCAAGAUUACCAUGUGGAGCGCUUCAAUGAAUUUUUGAGUGAGGUUAAAAUCAUGAAACGUUUGAGGCAUCCAAACAUUGUUCUCUUUAUGGGUGCUGUUACUCAGCCUCCUAAUUUGUCCAUAGUUACAGAGUAUUUAUCAAGGGGUAGCUUGCAUAAACUUUUGCAUAUGCCUGAUGCUGGAUUGAUACUGGAUGAGAAACUGCGCUUAAAAAUGGCAUAUGAUGUGGCAAAGGGUAUGAACUAUCUUCAUCAGCUUAGACCUCCCAUUGUUCAUCGAGAUUUAAAGUCUCUAAACCUCUUAGUGGACGGUACAUACACGGUGAAGGUUUGUGAUUUUGGGCUUUCCCGCUCAAAAGCAAAGUCGUAUCUUUCUUCAAAAACUGCAGCAGGAACUCCUGAGUGGAUGGCACCAGAAGUUCUCCGUGAUGAACCAUCAAAUGAAAAGUCAGACAUAUACAGUUUUGGUGUCAUAUUGUGGGAGCUUGCAACACUGCAACAACCAUGGAGCAAUUUAAAUCCUGCACAGGUUGUAGCAGCUGUUGGAUUUAAGGGCAAGAGGCUUGAAAUUCCUCGGGAUUUAAAUCAUCAAGUUGCCAACAUAAUUGAGGCUUGCUGGGCAAAUGAGCCUUGGAAACGGCCUUCCUUUACCACUAUCAUGGAAUCUUUGAGACUAUUGAUUAAACCCCCCACGCCCCCAACUGGUCAUGCAGAAAUGCCAUUACUUAAUUGAAUAAGGUUGAACACCAGCGAAGUCUUCUUUUGUACACAAAAUACACAUUCUUUUGACAUUUGACAAUGGCAGGAGUGAUAUUAGAUACUCUCAGGUGCGCGUUUCUAUUUUCUUCAUCUUUGGUUUACCAAGAGUUGUUGCUGCCUGAUACAGUUAUUUGAUGGCAGAGAUACCAUCAAAUUGUUGGAAAGAUGAAUAGCAGUUUAAAAUUUUUGAUAGCUCACAUUCUUAAUUGUGAAGUUUGAAUUAUGCUGAAAAGUCUUGGCAAUUAAUGGAGUCCCCAAAGCAUACCCAUGUACAGCAUCUGUUCCUUAAAUUACAUCUUCAUGCAUGUUGCUUUCAUGAGUCAAAUAUCUACUUCUGCUUGGCUUGAUUUCUAUAUUGGCGUGCUUUGCUCAAAAUUUCCAAUGCUUUUUUUUUUCAUUGCAGAAUCCUUGUUGUACAUGUCUAUUCUCGUUGCCAAUUGAGAAUUCUAAUUUUUAGCUCAACCUAAGGAACUGCACCCAUAGCUGCAUUACCCUUUCUGUGCCGCCAACAAAUAUGGUUUACUGUGGUGGAAAAGUUGUAUAAAGUUCUCUCAUAAUUUUUGUAUGUAAUUUGUAACUGGAAUUAGCUUAAUGAGAAUCAGCUUCCUGCACGUGUUUCGCAAGAGCUGAUUGUGCAAGUUAUGGAAAGUAUUGAUUUGCUGAUCGGAUCGAUUUUUUUUGCCCUUUGAUGCAUACAAGUUAAACAUAAUCUGCCAAAAGAGAAGGCUUGCUCAAAUCUAUUUUGCAGGUGAAACACCGUUGUAUUGCCAUUGUAAGUAAAAAAGAAUUCCUUCACCAGGAGUUAUGUACACCGCCAUUUUUGGUGAUUGCCUUGUUGCAGUGAUUAUAAUCGAAUUCAG